CGCAUCUGUGCAUGCAGCAUAUCAAUAAGCGGAGGAAAAGAAACUAACAAGGAUUCCCCUAGUAACGGCGAGUGAAGCGGGAAGAGCUCAAAUUUGAAAUCUUAAAGGGUUUCCCUUUACGAAUUGUAGUUUAAAGAAGUGUUUUCUGUUGAGGUUUUGGUAAAAGUUCUUUGGAAUAGGACAUCAUAGAGGGUGAGAAUCCCGUAUUUGACCUUUACUUUCAACUUUGUGAUACACUUUCAAAGAGUCGGAUUGUUUGGGAAUGCAGUCCAAAAUGGGUGGUAAAUUUCAUCUAAAGCUAAAUAUUGGCGAGAGACCGAUAGCGAACAAGUACCGUGAGGGAAAGAUGAAAAGAACUUUGAAAAGAGAGUUAAACAGUACGUGAAAUUGUCAAAAGGGAAGCGUUUGACACCAGUGUUGUUUUUCUGAAAAUCAAUUAAAGAACUGUUUAUGCUAAGCUGUUUAGACUUUAUCAGCUAAUCUGUUUAGUUUUGAGCUUUUCUUUAAUGCACUUUUCAGUUAACAAGUCAACAUCAAUUUCUUUUGCUGUAAAAAAGCUUGAGGAAGGUGGCUUGAGAUUCGUCUUAAGUGUUUAUAGCCUCUUGCCUAUGCAGUCGGAGAGAUUGAGGUCUGCAGCGUAGAUCCUUCGGGGCUAAAUGCAUUUGUGCUAAGUUAUAGCAUUUUAUAGACAACUUGUUGACUAUGAUUUGUCUUAGUAGCUUACUCGCUUAUGUUAUUUUACCUACGCUUAGGAUGUUGAACGCAUGUCUCUCUCU
rnacentral:rRNA from 1 species